GGACAUUUCAGGGGACACGGAUGUUUUGGGGGACUUGGGGACAUUCUGGGGGACAUUUUGGGGACCCCCCCCACACGUACCUUGGGGCUGGAGGAGCCGGCGCCUCCUCGAGGGCGGAGCUGGACCCGGGCGCCCUCCGGUGGCUCCUCCUCCUCCUGGGAGGGGGCGGAGCCAUGGUGCAAGGCCCCGCCCCCUCCCCAGCAAGCCCCACCCCCCACCCGACCUCCCGCCUCUCCCCACCAAUCAGCAGCCAGUGGGAGGGGCUUGCGUCCUGCUCAGAAGCCCCUCCCACCCUGACCACGCCCCCGUGCUUUGGCCCCUCCCACCCCAGUGAUGACCACACCCCAUAGGCUCCGCCCACAGGACCCCACCCAAUCAGGCCCCGCCCCUACACGACCCCACCCAAUCAGACUCCACCCACACGACCCCACCCUUUUAGGCCCCGCCCACACGACCCCACCCAGACUCCACCCUAUCAGGCUCCACCCACCCUUAUCUGCGAGGGGGCGUGGCCACUCCUUUGGGGGCGUGUCAUGGGCGGUGGGCGUGGCUCCUCUUGGCCCCGCCCCUUCUUGGCCGGCGGCUCCGCAGGGGAGGGGGGGCGGGCCCGGAGGCGAGGGCUGCGGCGCGGGGGGGCGGGGCAUGGCAGAGCCCCGCCCCUCGCCUGGUUGGCCCCGCCCCUCACCUGGCUGGCCCCGCCCCCUCCAGAGGCCCCGCCCACCGCGGAGGCCCCGCCCCCUGCAGGGGCUCUGCCCCCCUGGCCCCGGGCCAGGCGCUGGCUGCGGCGGGGCCCCUGGGUCACCUGCGGGAUUUGGGGAGGGGUCAUCAGGGUCUGGAGCCCCCCAAGGCCGCGGGGACCCCACCGGGUGCCCCGGGGGUCGCUUGGGACCACCCCGACCCCACUCACGGCACCGCCGGGGGCUGCGCUGGUCCCUGCUCCCUCCUCCUGGGCUGGGGUCACCAGCACCGGCUCGGCUGGGGGGACACGGGUGGCGGGGGUGUCCUGGGGGGGCUCUUCCUCCUCCUCCUCCUCUUCCUCCUCCUUCUUCUUCUUCCUCCUUCUCCUCCUCCUCCUCCUCCAGCUUGGGGUGGCAGAAGAGCUGCGUGGCCUCCUCAGGGUCCCAGCCCAGGGCUGCAUCUGCCAAAAAGCCACGUUGGGGACCUGGGAGGUGACACCCCCCACCCCCAGGGGGACAACACCAAGGUCACCUACCUUCGGUCACCGGUGGCGGCAAGAAGUUCUGGGUGGGCUCCAGGAAGAGG
rnacentral:lncRNA from 1 species